rnacentral:rRNA from 1 species
AGGAUGAACGCUGGCGGCGUGCCUAACACAUGCAAGUCGAACGUCCUGUCUCGCAAGAGGCAGGGAGUGGCGGACGGGUGAGUACCACGUGGGUUAUCUACCGUGAGGUGAGGAAUACCGGCGAGAAAUCGCCGACAAGACCGCAUAGCCUCGGUGCAAGCCGAGGAAAGCUUUCUCGAGAGAGGGAGCGCCACACGAGGAGCCUGCGCCCGAUUAGCUAGCUGGUGGAGUAACGGUUCACCAGGGCGACGAUCGGUAGCUGGUCUGAGAGGACGAUCAGCCACACUGGGAUUGAGAACGGCCCAGACUCCUACGGGGGGCAGCAGUGAGGAAUUUUCGUCAAUGGGGGCAACCCUGAACGAGCAACGCCGCGUGCAGGAAGAAGGUUUUCGGAUCGUAAACUGCUUUUCGUCGGGGAAGAGAACGGACGGUACCCGAGGAACUCGAGCCCCGGCUAACUACGCGCCAGCAGCCGCGGUAA